rnacentral:rRNA from 1 species
AGCGAACGCUGGCGGCAGGCCUAACACAUGCAAGUCGAACGAACUCUUCGGAGUUAGUGGCGGACGGGUGAGUAACACGUGGGAACGUGCCUUUAGGUUCGGAAUAACUCAGGGAAACUUGUGCUAAUACCGAAUGUGCCCUUCGGGGAAAGGAUUAUCGCCUUUAGAGCGGCCCGCGUCUGAUUAGCUAGUUGGUGAGGUAAAGGCUCACCAAGGCUACGAUCAGUAGCUGGUCUGAGAGGAUGACCAGCCACAUUGGGACUGAGACACGGCUCAAACUCCUACGGGAGGCAGCAGUGGGGAAUCUUGCGCAAUGGGCGAAAGCCUGACGCAGCCAUGCCGCGUGGAUGAUGAAGGUCUUAGGAUUGUAAACCUCUUUUGGCAGGAAACAAACCUGCGCUAUACGCGCAGCUGAGGGUACCUGCAGAAUAAGCACCGGCUAACUCCGUG